rnacentral:rRNA from 1 species
GGUGCAGGCGGGGUUGUAGGACCGCGCCGUGGCAAGAAGUGCAGUGAGUGGAAGGAACUGGAACGUUCCGCCGCAGGAGGUGAAAGCCCCGUACACGAAGCUGCAUGAAGCCUAGCGGUAUCCUGAGUAGCGCGGAGCACGAGGAAUUCUGCGUGAAUCUGCCGGGACCAUCCGGCAAGGCUAAAUACUCCCGGGAGACCGAUAGUGAACCAGUACCGUGAGGGAAAGGUGAAAAGCACCCCGGACAGGGGAGUGAAAGAGUCCCUGAAACCGUAUGCCUACAAGCGGUCGGAGCAUGCUUUGCAUGUGACGGCGUGCCUUUUGCAUAAUGAUCCUACGAGUUACCGUCGUUGGCAAGGUUAAGCGCAAUGAUGCGCGCAGCCGUAGCGAAAGCGAGUCUGAAACGGGCGAACGAGUCAGCGGAGGUAGACGCGAAACCAAGUGAUCUACCCUUGGGCAGGAUGAAGGUGAGGUAACACUCACUGGAGGUCCGAACGAAUAAGCGUUGAAAAGCUUCUCGAUGACCUGAGGGUAGGAGUGAAAGGCCAAUCAAACUUGGAGAUAGCUCGUACUCCCCGAAAAGCAUUUAGGUGCUGCCUCGGGCGUUCCUGUUGUGAGGUAGAGCGACUGAUUGGAUGCGAGGGCUUCACCGCCUAUCAAGUCCUGAUAAACUCCGAAUGCGCAACAGCCAAGCCCGGGAGAAAGGGCACGGGUGCUAAGGUCCGUGCCCGAGAGGAGAAGAAUCCAGACCACCGGCUAAGGUCCCGAAAUCCUGUCUAAGUCAGUCUAACGAAGUGCGGUUCCUAUGACAGCUAGGAUGUUGGCUCGGAAGCAGCCAUUCAUUCAAAGAGUGCGUAACAGCUCACUAGUCGAGGAACUGCGCAUGGAUAAUAAUCGGGUGUGAAGUCAGGUACCGAAGCCGUGGGAUACAUUAAGUAUCGGUAGGGGAGCAUUCCUGUCAGCGUCGAAGGCGCACCGCGAGGUGCUCUGGAGCGUCAGGAAAAGCAAAUGUAGGAAUAAGUAACGAUAAAGGGGGUGCGAUGCCCCCUCGCCGAAAGACCAAGGUUUCCUCAGCAACGCUAAUCGGCUGAGGGUCAGUCGGGUCCUAAGGCUCAUCCGAACGGAGAGGCCGAUGGCAGAAACGUUUAAUAUUACGUUACUACCUCCCGCGCGACGUGGAGACGGAGCAGUGACACUUCCGCGAGCAGACGGAUGCUCGUUGAAGGGUGUAGGCGCAGAUCGGUGCAGGCAAAUCCACACCGAGAGCCGAACCUGAAAGUAUCGGAGUCCCUUCCGGGACGGCGAACAGCGAAGGUAAUCAUACUCCCGAGAAAAUCCGCUAAGCAUCAACGGCGAGGUACCCGUACCGUAAACGGACACACGUGGUCGGGUUGAAUAUACUAAGGCGCUUGGGUGAUUCACGGUUAAGGAACUAGGCAAACUGACCCCGUAACUUCGGGAAAAGGGGUCCUCGUGAUGAGCGAGGCGCAGAGAAUAGGUCCAGGCAACUGUUUACCAAAAACACAGGGCUGUGCAAAAUCGAAAGAUCACGUAUACAGCCUGACACCUGCCCGGUGCUGGAAGGUUAAGAGGAGAUGUCACAGCAAUGGAAGCAUUGAAUUGAAGCCCCAGUAAACGGCGGCCGUAACUAUAACGGUCCUAAGGUAGCGAAAUUCCUUGUCGGGUAAGUUCCGACCUG